rfam:Schizopora paradoxa strain KTC8140 unplaced genomic scaffold SCHPAscaffold_00142, whole genome shotgun sequence.
GGCGUUGUGGCGGAGUGGUUAACGCGAGAGAUUAGAAUUGACGUCAGUAGGAUUCGAACCUACGCUUUUCAUCUCUUCCAUUUAUGGGCACAGGUUCGAAUCCUGUCGACGUCG